ensembl:lncRNA
AGAUAUUUGUGAGUGCAAAAAAAAAAGUUUAAUAAUUUUUUAAACUGAAUUAUUUUCACUCUCCAAGAACUUAAAAAUAGCUGAUGGGGUUUCCCUCAAAAUUUCCCCUGUAGGCUGAGAGCAUGCAUGGAAAAUUUGAGCUCAUGAAAAGAAUCUUUGAGAGCAUUGAUGCCAAAUAAAUAAAGGGGGGCUGUUAUAAUGGAAAUUUGAAUUCAACUUUAACUAUAAUUUUUCUCUAUAGAGAAAGCUCAAAGGACAGAUCCACAGCUGGUGCAGCUGCUCUGAUCUACAUGAGCUGAAAAUCUGGCCCAUAAUAUUUUCAGGAGUGUAUAGCAAACAGGAGAGCUGCAAAUUUCAUAGUAUUAUCUGUGUGGAUGCUCUGCAUGGCUGAUAACUAUAAUGCAUAUGGAUAUAUGCAGCACUUUCUGCCAAAGGAUCUCCAAACCCUUUAUACUGGGGAACUAACCCUCACAACUCUGCGGCUAGAAAGGUUUUGUUCCAUCGUCAUGAUGAGGACCCCAGAGCGUAUCUGUAGAGUGAGAAGAGGCCAGCUGCAGAUGAAGGUUUUCAGCAGAGGAAACCAAAGUCCUGUCCAAUAGUGAGGUUGCUUGAUUAUUUUCUCUGUAUCUCGUAGAUUUUAAGAUCCUGUAGGCCUAUUAUGAUCAUCUUGUCUGACUACAGCACACCCAUGGCAUUUCAACCAGUGAUUCCUGCACUGAGCCCAAUAGUUUGUGGCUGAACUAAAACAUAUCUUUUAGAAAGAUGUCCAAUCUUGAUUUUGGCUGGGAUUAUCAAAGGAGCCUAAUGCCCAAAUCCCACUGAAUUUCAAAUACCUGUAGAGAUUGUAGAAACCCAGCAAACUAUGAUGGAUGGGGUGAAUGCAAGACUGUCUUUAUUUCCUGUUUACAUAGACACAUACCUCCUUGUUCUAUGCCCCUUAGCUGCUGCUCUAAACAUUCACAACUAACACCACAAUAUCCACAAGCUCCUUUUGAAAAUUGGAGCCUUAAACAUUUCAAGUGAUGGAGAAUCUACUGCAUCCUUUGGUAAGCGCUAGCCAUUGUUAAUUACUCUCGGUGUUAAGAGUUCCUGCCUUAUUUCCUAUCUGAAUUUUUCUAGCUUUAGCUUCCAGCCAAUGGUUCUUGUAAUGCCUUUGCCUGCUAUCUUGUAGCAGCUAUCUCAAUAUCCUUCUUUACCCCUCCACUGCAAAUCUGUAAACACCUCUUUGCAGGCAAGAGAGAAGAGCUGAAGUGAUGUCUAACUAUGGGCUUCCUCUGAACCUCUUCACUCUCACUGUCAAGCUUAAACGUAUUGUUCAUGUAAACUUCUUUCAGCGAUCUGGUUUCUCUGUUCUUUCCUUUUUGUAUUUGGCACCAUUCCCAAGAACCUUAUUUGCUGCCUGCACCAGUUGAGAAAUUCCUUCUGAAUGUUGGCUGUCCUUCCUGUUGGUUAAAGUCCAGAAAUCACUGUCAUCUGCUUAACAGCGUUGUUUCUGUGCCGAUGAUCUCGGGUAACACUGACAGUAAGCACGUGGUCUUUCAUGUGACUCACUGUUCCUUAACAUUUCUGUGAACAAGACAUUUCUGCUAAACACCACCA